rnacentral:rRNA from 1 species
AGCAGCCGCGGUAAUUCCAGCUCCAAUAGCGUAUAUUAAAGUUGUUGCAGUUAAAAAGCUCGUAGUUGAAUUUCGGGGUCAGUAGGUCGGUCGUGCCACAGGUAUGCACUGGUCUCACUGAUUCCUCCUUCCUGAUGAACCGUAAUGCCAUUAAUUUGGUGUUGCGGGGAGACUGGACUGUUACUUUGAAAAAAUUAGAGUGUUUAAAGCAGGCUAACGCUUGAAUACAUUAGCAUGGAAUAAUGAAAUAGGACGUUUGAUUCUAUUUUGUUGGUUUCUAGGAUCGACGUAAUGAUUAAUAGGGAUAGUUGGGGGCAUUAGUAUUCAAUUGUCAGAGGUGAAAUUCUUGGAUUUAUUGAAGACUAACUACUGCGAAAGCAUUUGCCAAGGAUGUUUUCAUUAAUCAAGAACGAAAGUUAGGGGAUCGAAGACGAUCAGAUACCGUCGUAGUCUUAACCAUAAACUAUGCCGACUAGGGAUCGGAUGAUGUUAAUUUUUAAUGACUCAUUCGGCGCCUUAA